AAACCAUGAUUAGGGCAGUCUCUCUCAUACUCCUUAAAUCGCUCCCAAGCUUCAUAGAAUGAUUAUAUUGGGUCUUGUUAUAAACUUUGUAUCUUGAUUCUCAGCU
rfam:Eutrema salsugineum unplaced genomic scaffold scaffold_11, whole genome shotgun sequence.